rfam:Vigna radiata var. radiata cultivar VC1973A chromosome 8, whole genome shotgun sequence
GUGGCCGGUGAUGUGUUGAUAUUGCCGACAUUGGCUGAUAAUCUUAUCUUUGAUAAUGACGUAUUCAAUUAUCUGAGGCCUGC